CACAGAUGACAGAGGUGACACAGGUGCCAAAGGUGACACAAGUGACAGAAGUGACACAACUGACAGAGCUGACACAGGUGACACAAGUGACAGAAGUGGCACAAGUGACAGAAGUGACACAAGUGACAGAAGUGACACCAGUGACAGAAGUGACACAAGUGACAGAAGUGACACAUGUGACAGAGGUGACAGAGGUGGCCCAGGUGACAG